rnacentral:rRNA from 1 species
GACGAACGCUGGCGGCGUGCUUAACACAUGCAAGUCGAACGGAAAGGCCCUGCUUUUGUGGGGUGCUCGAGUGGCGAACGGGUGAGUAACACGUGAGUAACCUGCCCUUGACUUUGGGAUAACUUCAGGAAACUGGGUCUAAUACCGGAUAGGAGCUCCUGCUGCAUGGUGGGGGUUUGAAAGUUUCGGCGGUUGGGGAUGGACUCGCGGCUUAUCAGCUUGUUGGUGGGGUAGUGGCUUACCAAGGCUUUGACGGGUAGCCGGCCUGAGAGGGUGACCGGGGACAUUGGGACUGAGAUACGGCCCAGACUCCUACGGGAGGCAGCAGUGGGGAAUAUUGUACAGUGGGCGGAAGCGUGAUGAAGCAACGCCGCGUGCGGGAUGACGGCCUGCGGGUUGUAAAACGCUUGCGCCUGUGACGAAGCGUGAGUGACGGUAAUGGGUAAAGAAGCACCGGCUAACUACGUG